AAUAGUGGUGCAUCUUGAUGUGGG
rnacentral:piRNA from 1 species